AGAGUUUGAUCCUGGCUCAGGACGAACGCUGGCGGCGUGCUUAACACAUGCAAGUCGAACGAGAAUCUGCGGAAAAAGGAUUCGUCCAAUUGAAGCAGAGGACAGUGGCGGACGGGUGAGUAACGCGUGAGGAACCUGCCUUUCAGAGGGGGACAACAGUUGGAAACGACUGCUAAUACCGCAUGACACAUUGGGGUCGCAUGGCCUUAAUGUCAAAGAUUUAUCGCUGAAAGAUGGCCUCGCGUCUGAUUAGCUAGUUGGUGAGGUAACGGCCCACCAAGGCGACGAUCAGUAGCCGGACUGAGAGGUUGAACGGCCACAUUGGGACUGAGAUACGGCCCAGACUCCUACGGGAGGCAGCAGUGGGGAAUAUUGGGCAAUGGGCGCAAGCCUGACCCAGCAACGCCGCGUGAAGGAAGAAGGCUUUCGGGUUGUAAACUUCUUUUAAGUGGGAAGAGUAGAAGACGGUACCACUUGAAUAAGCCACGGCUAACUACGUGCCAGCAGCCGCGGUAAUACGUAGGUGGCAAGCGUUGUCCGGAUUUACUGGGUGUAAAGGGCGUGCAGCCGGGCAUGCAAGUCAGAUGUGAAAUCUCAGGGCUUAACCCUGAAACUGCAUUUGAAACUGUAUGUCUUGAGUGCCGGAGAGGUAAUCGGAAUUCCUUGUGUAGCGGUGAAAUGCGUAGAUAUAAGGAAGAACACCAGUGGCGAAGGCGGAUUACUGGACGGUAACUGACGGUGAGGCGCGAAAGCGUGGGGAGCGAACAGGAUUAGAUACCCUGGUAGUCCACGCUGUAAACGAUGGAUACUAGGUGUGCGGGGACUGACCCCCUGCGUGCCGCAGUUAACACAAUAAGUAUCCCACCUGGGGAGUACGAUCGCAAGGUUGAAACUCAAAGGAAUUGACGGGGGCCCGCACAAGCGGUGGAUUAUGUGGUUUAAUUCGAAGCAACGCGAAGAACCUUACCAGGUCUUGACAUCCUGCUAACGAAGUAGAGAUACAUUAGGUGCCCUUCGGGGAAAGCAGAGACAGGUGGUGCAUGGUUGUCGUCAGCUCGUGUCGUGAGAUGUUGGGUU
rnacentral:rRNA from 1 species